rnacentral:lncRNA from 10 species
ACUUAACUUUGUGAGAACUGAAUAGAACCAUGUUGCAGUGGCAGCACCACGCCCUUUCUUGCCAAAGGAUAAAUGGUCUGUGAGUAGCCCCAGCAGAGAGUGGGCCAGUGUCCUUUUGUUCACAGGGCUGUCCAUUCUGUGGCUUUGUUACUAAAGCUGCACAGAACUCUGAGGCAGUGAAAGCGUGGUAGCAACAUUCUGGACAUAAACAGAACACCUACUUCUGAACUUAUAGACAGGCCUGAAAAACCUCUUGGAUAAUAGACCCAAAUAAUCACCCUCUGGAUGCACAGACAAUUAGAACAUUAACUCUCAUCUCAAAAACUAUACAAACUUUGGGAAGCUGGGGGAGUCUGUCCAAA